rnacentral:misc_RNA from 1 species
AUUUCUAAUAAUUUAUACUAAGACCUAAUAGCAAUUAGCAAUAAGAAAAUAAAGUAAUAAAUCAUUUUUAAUUCAAUAAUAAAACUAAAAGCUAAUAAGAGUAAUAGGCAUAAUAGCAUCUCCAAGUCUCAACAUAUAUUCACAUAUUCAUAAUAAAAAAAAUCUAAAUUUAUGAUUUUGGUAUUUUAAAAAGCAGAGGUUAAGGAGAGAGCAUAGCAAAGAAAGGGAGAAAAAAUGAUAGCUGCUGGCCUUGGAUAAAACACAGCUAGAGAGAGAGAGAGAGAGGGAGGGGGCGCAUAAGAGAGCAUGACAGCUCAAAAAAAAAAAGAAACUGCAGCGCUAUGGACGAAAUAGAGAAAGAGAAUGGAGGAGAGAGAGUGAAGAAGAAAAAGAAAGAAGAAGAACAGAACAAAUAAAACAUACUAGGUUUGAUCUCUCCUUUCCCUUCUCUUCUUCUUCUUCUUUUUUAUCUUUUCG